rnacentral:rRNA from 1 species
GACGAACGCUGGCGGCGUGCUUAACACAUGCAAGUCGAACGGAAAGGCCCUGCUCUUGUUGGUUUCUCGAUUGGCGCACGGGUGUGUAACACGCGAGUAACCUGCCCUUGUCUUUCUGAUAACUUUAGGAAACUCGGGCUCUUACCGGGUAUGAGCUCCUGCUCCAUGUUGUUGGUUGGUAAGUUUCGGCGGUUCGAGAUCUACUCGCAGCUUAUCCGCUUGUUUGUGUGGUAGGGGCUUACCAAGGCUUUGACGGGUAGCCUGCCUGAGAGGGGUACCGGCGACAAUGGGACUGAGAGACGGCCCAGAAGCCUACGGGAAGCAACAGUGGGGAAUAUGACAGAAUGGGCGGAAGCGAGAUGCAGAGAUGCCGCGUGCGGGAUGAUGGGCUUCGAGUGGUAAACCGAUGUGGACGGUGACGAAGCGGGAGUGACGGUAAUGGGUAAAAAAGCACCGGCUAACUACGUG